CAAAACUUUCAAACAUCGGAUCAUGUUGGUUCUGACAUCGAUGAAGAACGCAGCGAAAAUGCGAUAAGUAAUGUGAAUUGCAGAAUUCAGUGAAUCAUCGAAUCUUUGGAACGCACAUUGCGCCCCUCCAGUAUUCUGGGGGGCAUGCCUGUCCGAGCGACAUUUC
rnacentral:rRNA from 1 species